rnacentral:lncRNA from 1 species
UUCUACUUAUAGUCAACACCCCAAUAGUAGCAUACACUAUUCACUUCAGGCAGUUCAAAAUCUGAUAUCUUUCGCCGGAACCCUCUGAAUAUCCGUUUGAGCUCAAAUUUGAUAGUCAUGUUCGGUUUUGCUUAACUUAACGAAAGAAAUUUUAAUAUUUCAGUUUCAACCCCGUUUGGUCACCGAAAGCCGUACCGAACUGUAAUCUUUUUCAGAUCACUGUCGGAUUUUAUUUUCCACCUUCCGGGUGUCAGAAUGAUAUGAAACUUUAAAUCUAACAUCAUAAAAUAAUUUUGACUUAUCCUCCAGUUUUUAGAAUUUUCUGACACUGUGCAUUUUCUGCUAAUUUAUCUGCCCCGUUUCACACAGAAAAUUCUAAAUUUUCUAUUUUCGCUCCGAUUUCAACACGGGUCAUUUCAGACUUAUAUUUUACUUCUAUAAGUCCAAUAAAAAUAGUAUCUCACAUUAUUUUUAUUUAUAUUUAUUUUUAUAAUAAAUUCCGGCAUACUAUACCCUACCGUAACUUCUUACUUUCAGGAGUUCGGUAUCUUACACUGCGCUACACCCACCCGAGACUCGUCUGCGGGACAACUACGUCUGCCCCAACGCGACUACUACUCCG